UUAGGCAUGCAAGUCGAACGGGAUUGACCUGAUAGCAAUAUUGGGUCAUGAGAGUGGCGAAAGGGCGAGUAAUGCAUGGGCAAUCUAUCCUUGAGUUCGGGAUAACUCAGCGAAAGUUGAGCUAAUACCGGAUGUGGUUACGGCGGGGCAUCCUGCUGUUACUAAAGAUGGGGCUCCUUCGGGACCUGUCGCUCUUGGCGGAGCCCGUGUGCCAUCAGCUUGUUGGUGAGGUAACGGCUCACCAAGGCUUACGGCUAGCUGGUCUGAGAGGACGAUCAGCCGCACUGGGACUGAGACACUGCCCAGACUCCUACGGGAGGCUGCAGUCGAGGAUCAUUCGCAAUGCGCGAAAGCGUGACGAUGCGACGCUGCGUGGAGGACGACGGCCUUCGGGUUGUAAACUCCUGUCAUGGAGGAAAAAUGUAUUGGAUGUUAACAGCAUCUGGUAUUUGAUGGUACCCCAAGAGGAAGCCACGGCUAACUCUGUGCCGGCAGCCGCAAUAAUACAGAGGUGGCGAGCGUUGUUCUUAUUUUCUGGGCGUAAAGGGCGCGGAGGCGGUAUUGUGUGUCAUAUGUAAAACCCCCGGCCUCACCCCGGGAAGUGCAUGCAAAACUGCAGUGCUAGAGCAGAGGAGGGGGAGAGCGGAAUUUCAGGGUGUAGCGGUGAAAAGCGUUGAUAUCAUGAGGACCACCCGAGGCGAAGGGCGGCUCUCUGGAAUCUUGCUGACGCUCAGGCGCGAAAGCCGGGGGAGCAAACAGGAUUAGAUACCCUGGUAGUCCCGGCCCUAAACGGUGCACACUUGGCGUGGGGGGCUUCACCCCCUCCGUGCCGGAGCUAACGUGUUAAGUGUGCCGCCUGGGGAGUACGGCCGCAAGGCUAAAACUCAAAGAAAUUGACGGGGGCCCGCACAAGCGGAGGAGCAUGUGGCUUAAUUCGAUGCAACGCGAAGAACCUUACCCGGGUUUAACAUGUAACUGCACAUCCUGUGAAAGCAGGAUUCCUUUGAGGGUGUUACACAGGUGCUGCAUGGCUGUCGUCAGUUCGUGCCGUGAGGUGUUUGGUUAAGUCCAGCAACGAACGCAACCCCUGUGUCUAAUUGCCAGCGAGUAAUGUCGGGAACUUUGGACAGACUGCCUGUUUACGCAGGAGGAAGGUGGGGACGACGUCAAGUCAGUAUGGCCCUUACAUCCGGGGCUGCACACGUGCUACAAUGGUCGGUACAAUGGGACGCUAAGCCGCGAGGUGGCGCAAAUCCCCAGAGCCGGCCCCAGUUCAGAUUGCGGUCUGCAAUUCGACCGCAUGAAGUCGGAUUCGCUAGUAACGGCGUAUCAGCUACGACGCCGUGAAUACGUUCCCGGGCCUUGUACACACCGCCCGUCAAG
rnacentral:rRNA from 1 species